rnacentral:lncRNA from 1 species
GUUUAGCUCGUUUAAUUAGUCUUUGUGAAAAUGAAAGGGGAACUGUAACAAGCGAACCCAGCAAACCCCUGGAGUUUUAUAGUCAUCUGUCACCCAAUCAGAAGAGGACAACCAGGAACAGAACAACACCUGCAGUGAAGGACUACGCUACUCAGGGAUUCAAGUUCUAGUGAUAUGUACAAAGUCUAAUACAAAUCAGCCUGGCUCUCUUUUUGCGCAAUCCACUUUGGCCACUGGUAUAAAAAGGACAACAUCUGUUUUGAAAACAAAAGAAUGUUUAGGGAACACACACUUGUUCCUAGGAUUCAGUCCCCCAUCCCAUCACACUUAUGAUGCUAAUGAGGUGCCAGCUCAUCAUUGACAACCUAAGCUAACUAAUGUGCAAAGAAACUUGCAAAAUCUGCUUCUGUUUUCAUUAUUUUGACUG